AGAAACUGGGAAGGUCUUCAGCAAAGAUUUCAUUUGAAUAGAAUUUUUUCAGGAAGUCAGUGGUUUUGAGUCACAUCCUGAAACCUUGGAUGGAUAUACAGAAGAUUAGUUGAUGAAACAAAAUGAUAUCCAAAGGCUAACUUGUUUGAGAGUAGGGUGGGGCUCUGAGGAAGUGGCGCUCCAGUACACAUUGAUGGGGUCCUCUGUCCAGGGAAGUCUGAGUGGAUAUUUCAAGGUAAAACAUCUUGGUGAAAUGGCUCCCAUGUAUUUGGAUAUCAGAUAUCUGUAUACUCUUCUUAUGUGUGUAGCAUUUGACUCAGCUUUGUCUUCAGAUGCUGACAUAAAAGUUAAUCCUCCUCAGAAUUUUGAGAUAGUGGAUCCUGGAUAUUUAGGUUAUCUCUAUUUGCAAUGGCAACCUCCCCUGUCUCUGGAUGACUUUAAGGACUGUGAAAUAGAGUAUAAAUUAAAAUAUCGGAAUAUUGGUAACAAAUACUGGAAGACCAUCAUUACUAAGAAUCUUCAUUACAAAGAUGGAUUUGAUCUUAACAAAGGCAUUGAAGCAAAGAUACAUACAAUUCUGCCAGGACAGUGUGCAAAUGGAUCAGAAAUUCAAAGCUCAUGGUCAGAAACUACAUAUCAGACAUCAACACAAGGAAAUCUGGACACUAAAAUUCAGGAUAUGGAUUGUAUAUAUUACAACUGGCAAUAUUUACUUUGCUCUUGGACAGCUGGAACAGGUGCCAAUAUUGAUACUAAUUACAACUUAUUUUACUGGUAUGAGGGUUUGAACCAGGCAAUCCAAUGCUCCAAUUACAUCAAGGCUAAUGAAAAAAAUAUUGGAUGUAGGUUUCCCUAUUUGGAGUCAUCAGACUAUAAAGAUUUCUACAUCUGUGUUAAUGGAACGUCAGAAUCCAAGCCUAUCAGAUCCAGCUAUUUCAUUUUUCAACUUCAGAAUAUAGUUAAGCCUUUGCCACCAGAUUUCCUCAGUCUUACUGUGAAGAAUUCAGAGGAAAUUAACCUGAAAUGGAAUUUUCCCAGAGGUCCCAUUCCGGGAAGGUGUUUUGUUUAUGAAAUUGAGGUCAUGGAAGAUGAUUCUACUAAAUUGACCACUUCAUUUGAAAAUCAAGUGCAUAUCAUAAAAACAUCAAAUAAAAGCCAGCAACUAUGCUUUUUAGUAAGAAGCAAAGUGAAUAAUUAUUGCUCAGAUGAUGGAAUUUGGAGCGAGUGGAGUGAAGAAAAGUGCUGGAAAGGUGACACGUGGGAUAAAACUUUGGUGUUUUUUGUGAUACCAUUUGCUUUUGUCGCAUCAUUUGUUUUGUUUUUAACCUGUCUGGUUUUGCAUAAACCAAAAGCUUUGCUGAAAGUGAUAUUUCACACAGACAAAGAAGUCCUUUCUCAUCAGGAGGAACUCUAUUGAUAUCAAUUUCCAGUUUUGUGGUCACAUGAUAAACAUGUGUGUUUUUCCCCAGAUGUCAAAUAAAGUGCAUUGUUCCAGAUGCUACAAUGAUGGCAACCUGAAUUCCCUGGGCAGACGACCCUACCAAUGACUUCUGGAACACUGCUUCCCCAGAGCUCUGCCAGACUAGGGAAAGAGAAAGAGAGAGACUGCGAGUG